rnacentral:rRNA from 1 species
CCCCUAGAUGUUCUGGGCCGCACGCGCGCUACACUGAACAGUUCAACAAGUCUUAACCUUGGCCGAUAGGUCUGGGUAAUCUUUGAACGCUGUUCGUGAUUGGGAUAGACCAUUGCAAUUAUGGGUCUUCAACGAGGAAUUCCUAGUAAACGCAAGUCAUCAGCUUGCAUUGAUUACGUCCCUGCCCUUUGUACACACCGCCCGUCGCACCUACCGAUUGAAUGGUCCGGUGAAAUCUCGGGACGGCGGCUUGGUCGCUUGCGUCCGACUGCUGAAACUUGAUUAAACCAUAUCAUUUAGAGGAAGGUGAAGUCGUAACA